GAUGAAGAACGUAGUGAAAUGCGAUAAGUAAUGUGAAUUGCAGAAUUCAGUGAAUCAUCGAAUCUUUGAACGCACCUUGCGCCCUUUGGCUAUUCCGAAGGGCAUGCCUGUUUGAGUAUCAUGAACACCUCAACUCUUCAUGGUUUUCCAUGAAGGGCUUGGACUUUGGGGGUCUUGCUGGCCUUUAGUCAGCUCCUCUCAAACGAAUCAGCUUUCCAGUGUUUGGCAGCGUCACAGGUGUGAUAACUAUCUACGCUUGUGGUUUUCUGCCAGGUAAUCCUCAGUGAUGGGGAUUCGCUGGGGCUUAUAAAUGUCUCUCCUCAGCGAAGACAGCUUUGUGAACGUUUGAUCUCAAAUCAGGUAGGACUACCCGCUGAACUUAAGCAUAUCAAUAAGCGGAGGA
rnacentral:misc_RNA from 1 species